rnacentral:lncRNA from 1 species
GGGCUUACUUAGCAGAGGCGGUGUCUGCUGGAGACGAAAAGGGGUCCAGACCCUGUGAGGAAACUUGAUAAAAAAAGAAAAAAAAAGUAAUGAAAAUCCAAGAAGACCUUUUCUGGCCAUCCUUGUGUUUAAACAUAGCAUUCCAUGUUGGAAAGAAGGUAGGCUGAAGACGAUGAAAUGAGGUCCCUGUAACACUUUCUGGUUCUGGACCGUGGCUCAUACCCACAGCUGAUGUCUACUCCAACAUCAUGGCAGAGAAUACCACACUGUGGCUAAUGCCACGGACAUUCCAGGAAGCCUUGGAUAAGUGAGGGGAGAAGUGUUCUAUGCUGGAAAAAGUCUCCACCCCACAGCAAACCUCGAUGUGGUAAGUAAGUGGUACUGAGGAAGAGCAUUGCCUCCUCUGUCUCCUUCCUCUGAGGAACCUUCCUUCCCCAGCACCCUGUGCCUGGCCCUGGUGAUGGCGCUGGGUUCUGCUCCCUCACCUUCCUGUAUUCCUUUACUACUCACACCAAGUUCAACUUUGGGGAUCGCCAGCUUUGCCCUACCCGAACGGUAGAGCCCCAGGGAGGCAAGGUCAUAAAGGCUGUGGGUAAAAUGGGGAGAGCCGACUAGGUGGGCAGGUGCUGUGCCUUUCCAGAAGCUCAUUUCUGAAUGGUUGGCAUCCCUGAGAUGUGCUUUCCAGAGCCCAGCAACAGAGCCCAGCAGGCUGGAGCAAGAGAUCAGGCUCGCAUGCAAAGAAGCAAGGAGCACUGUCAGCCAGAAGGAUUCUCUCUCUAUAUAUAGAUAUAGAUAGAUAUUGUGGUCAAGCUCAGAGUCAGCUAUGAGGGGAUUUCUCAGCCCUGCAUCUGGGGGUCAUUUAAUAUCCAGCUCACCGCGCCACGCCCCUCCCCCCAGGUUUUCUUAUGCCUGUGUUGUCCUUCAAUGGAUCUGGCUGCAUUCUCUGCUCCUCCAGGUCUCAGUGAGAAGCAGGCACAGGAACUCUCUCGUGAACUCAUUUGCUCUCCCGGUUCCCUCUGCACCUGCUGCCUCUAAGGGCCCGGUGAAUCCAGCCGUUUCCACAGCAAACAGUCAUAAACAGCCAGAAGCGACCCAGCACUCAGCACUUCCGGUGCAGAAGCAGGGUGGGGAGUCGCUGCUUUGGCAGAGCCCAUUUCCAUACAGAUGUUUUCAGCCAUAAAACCGGAGGCUUGAAGAGCAAGAAGUGGGUCGGGUUGCAAAUGACAAGGCCUGCGAAGGACAUUAGGCUGAAGUUCAGACCGUGAUUCAGAGCUUCCUCAGGGCUAACCUGCACCUCACAGCCGGUCAGCUGGGGGCCAGAGGUUUGGGAAAGUGGGAAGUAGCUGAAGGAGCUGAAACCAAAGAGGCCCACCCUGGUUGUGCAAACACAG